rnacentral:rRNA from 1 species
GACGAACGCUGGCGGCGUGCCUAAUACAUGCAAGUCGUACGCUUCUUUUUCCACCGGAGCUUGCUCCACCGGAAAAAGAAGAGUGGCGAACGGGUGAGUAACACGUGGGUAACCUGCCCAUCAGAAGGGGAUAACACUUGGAAACAGGUGCUAAUACCGUAUAACAAUCGAAACCGCAUGGUUUUGAUUUGAAAGGCGCUUUCGGGUGUCGCUGAUGGAUGGACCCGCGGUGCAUUAGCUAGUUGGUGAGGUAACGGCUCACCAAGGCCACGAUGCAUAGCCGACCUGAGAGGGUGAUCGGCCACAUUGGGACUGAGACACGGCCCAAACUCCUACGGGAGGCAGCAGUAGGGAAUCUUCGGCAAUGGACGAAAGUCUGACCGAGCAACGCCGCGUGAGUGAAGAAGGUUUUCGGAUCGUAAAACUCUGUUGUUAGAGAAGAACAAGGAUGAGAGUAACUGUUCAUCCCUUGACGGUAUCUAACCAGAAAGCCACGGCUAACUACGUGCCAGCAGCCGCGGUAAUACGUAGGUGGCAAGCGUUGUCCGGAUUUAUUGGGCGUAAAGCGAGCGCAGGCGGUUUCUUAAGUCUGAUGUGAAAGCCCCCGGCUCAACCGGGGAGGGUCAUUGGAAACUGGGAGACUUGAGUGCAGAAGAGGAGAGUGGAAUUCCAUGUGUAGCGGUGAAAUGCGUAGAUAUAUGGAGGAACACCAGUGGCGAAGGCGGCUCUCUGGUCUGUAACUGACGCUGAGGCUCGAAAGCGUGGGGAGCAAACAGGAUUAGAUACCCUGGUAGUCCACGCCGUAAACGAUGAGUGCUAAGUGUUGGAGGGUUUCCGCCCUUCAGUGCUGCAGCUAACGCAUUAAGCACUCCGCCUGGGGAGUACGACCGCAAGGUUGAAACUCAAAGGAAUUGACGGGGGCCCGCACAAGCGGUGGAGCAUGUGGUUUAAUUCGAAGCAACGCGAAGAACCUUACCAGGUCUUGACAUCCUUUGACCACUCUAGAGAUAGAGCUUCCCCUUCGGGGGCAAAGUGACAGGUGGUGCAUGGUUGUCGUCAGCUCGUGUCGUGAGAUGUUGGGUUAAGUCCCGCAACGAGCGCAACCCUUAUUGUUAGUUGCCAUCAUUCAGUUGGGCACUCUAGCAAGACUGCCGGUGACAAACCGGAGGAAGGUGGGGAUGACGUCAAAUCAUCAUGCCCCUUAUGACCUGGGCUACACACGUGCUACAAUGGGAAGUACAACGAGUCGCGAAGUCGCGAGGCUAAGCUAAUCUCUUAAAGCUUCUCUCAGUUCGGAUUGUAGGCUGCAACUCGCCUACAUGAAGCCGGAAUCGCUAGUAAUCGCGGAUCAGCACGCCGCGGUGAAUACGUUCCCGGGCCUUGUACACACCGCCCGUCACACCACGAGAGUUUGUAACACCCGAAGUCGGUGAGGUAACCUUUUGGAGCCAGCCGCCUAAGGUGGGAUAGAUGAUUGGGGUG